AUUGAACGCUGGCGGCAGGCCUUACACAUGCAAGUCGAGCGGAGCGGCGGACGGGUGAGUGAUGCCUAGGAAUCUGCCUGGUCGUGGGGGAUAACGUCCGGAAACGGGCGCUAAUACCGCAUACUAUCAGAUGAGCCUAGGUCGGAUUGGCUAGUUGGUGGGGUAAAGGCCUACCAAGGCGACGAUCCGUAACUGGUCUGAGAGGAUGAUCAGCCACACUGGAACUGAGACACGGUCCAGACUCCUACGGGAGGCAGCAGUGGGGAAUAUUGGACAAUGGGCGAAAGCCUGAUCCAGCCAUGCCGCGUGUGUGAAGAAGGUCUUCGGAUUGUAAAGCACUGUAAGUUGGGAAGCGUUACCAACAGAAUAAGCACCGGCUAACUACGUGCCAGCAGCCGCGGUAAUAC
rnacentral:rRNA from 1 species